CCUACGGGAGGCAGCAGUGAGGAAUUUUGGUCAAUGGGCGCAGGCCUGAACCAGCCAUGUCGCGUGAGUGAUGACGGCCCUAUGGAUUGUAAACUUCUUUUGUGAGGGAACAAAGGGGGCCAAGUGUGGCGGUUUGCAAGUACCUGAAGAAGAAGCAUCGGCUAACUCCGUGCCAGCAGCCGCGGUAAUCCGGAGGAUGCGAGCGUUAUCCGGAUUUAUGGGGUUUAAGGGGUGCGCGGGCGGGAUGUCACGUCAGCGGGAAAAUUUUGGGGCUCAACCCCGUCCUGCCGUUGAAACUGGCGUUCUUGAGUGCACGAGAGGUAUGCGGAAUGCGUGGUGUAGCGGUGAAAUGCGUAGAUAUCACGCAGAACUCCGAUUGCGAAGGCAGCAUACCGGCGCUCAACUGACGCUCAGGCACGAAAGCGUGGGUAUCAAACAGGAUUAGAUACCCGGGUAGUC
rnacentral:rRNA from 1 species